AUAAGCCAUGCAAGUUGAAUGGGAUACCUAAAUUUUCCAUAGCAAACUGCUCAGUAACACAUGAUCAACUUGCCCUAUGGAGAAAAAUAACCUCGGGAAACUGAGGAUAAUAUUUCAUAGUUGAAUAGGCUUGGAAAAGUUUUUCAAUGAAAAGGAAAAGAUAAAUGGAUCUUUUCUGCCAUAGGAUAGGAUCGUAGUCGAUUAUGGUAGUUGGUGAGGUAAUGGCUCACCAAGCCGAUAAUCGAUAGGGGCCGUGAGAGCGGGAGCCCCGAGAUGGGUACUGAGACACCGACCCAGACCUUACGAGGUGCAGCAGGCGCGAGACCUCCGCAAUACACGAAAGUGUGACGGGGUUACCCAAAGUGUUCAUUUUUGAACUGUGGUAGGUGAGUAAUGUCCCCUACUAGAAAGGAGAGGGCAAGGCUGGUGCCAGCCGCCGCGGUAAAACCAGCUCUUCAAGUGGUCGGGAUGAUUAUUGGGCUUAAAGUGUCCGUAGCCGGUUUAGUAAGUUCCUGGUAAAAUCAGGUAGCUUAACUAUCUGUAUGCUAGGAAUACUACUAUACUAGAGGGCGGGAGAGGUCUGAGGUACACAGGGGUAGGGGUGAAAUCUUAUAAUCUUG
rnacentral:rRNA from 1 species